GCCUCGUCUGAGAGGCCGGCGCCGGGGCAGUGACCUGCCCGUGCCCCGCCGCCGCGCAGGGCGCCCAGGGCAGCUGGCCGAGCCCUCGAGGCCUCCCGCCUGACGGAGGCGCCCGGGAAGCGCCGCCCACCUCGGCCCCGCACCCUCGCCGGCCUGCCUGGUCUCCGGCAGCCCUAGCAGACAGAGAGGGGCGCCGGUCCCUGUUCCCCCAGACCUCCAUUCAAGGUCAAAACUUUGCCCAGCUCAGCCUUGCUCGACCCCGGGCAGGGAAGCGCGGACAUCGGCAGAGGGAGCCCGAGGCUCUCCGUGCCCUUCGCGCCGGUGAGUUCCCGACCCGCGGCGCUGCCGGCGUUUCUCUAGCGCCCGCCAGGUUGACGGGCACUUUAGUACCAACUCCUCAGACUCCCCGUCAUGAACUCCCCAAAGAUGGAUAACACUAACAUAUAGUCAGUGGGAGAGAAAUCUCAGAAAAUAACUGUUAGUGUGUCACUGUAAUGGGAAAUGGAAAAGAAGAAAAACAGCACUUAUCAAGCAUCUUCUAUGUACAAACUGCCAUUUCAGACUCAGAGCAGUCCUUGAAGGUCAAGAACUAUGGAAUCUUUCAGAUGAUAUUCUGAUACUUCUGGACAAAGAUUGAAUUUGUUCUUCAUGAAAAAUGUCUGGGACCUUUUAUAGAUGGGGUCUUGCUCUGUUACCCAGGCUGGAGUGCCUAUGAUCACACCAUAGCUUACUGCAACCUCGAACUCCUGGGCUCAAGUGAUCCUCUCGCCUCAUCCUCCAGAGUAGCUGGGAGUAUAGGCACAUGGCAUCAUAUCUGGCUAAUUUAUUUUUAUUUUUUAAAAUUUUUAAGAGAAGGGGUCUCACUGUCUUGCCCAGGCUGGUUUCAAGCUCUGGGUUACAAGUGAUCCUCCCAUCUCAGCCUCCUGAGUAGCUGGGAUUACAGGUGUGAGCCACAUCACCAGGCUGAUAUAUCUAUUAAAAUCUUCCCAGCUAUACAAUUAUCAUACUCCCUUGUUUCUAAAUGCCAACUUGGGGUAAUAAUUUUUGUUAUUUAAUGUGAUGAGACUCAUUAUAAAUGUAUAUCAAAUCAGAUGGUCUAGCCAGAAAAAAGGCUAGCAAUUAAAUUGGAGUUUAUGGUCUACUCUGAUAAUGUGAUUAUUUCCUUGAUAUGUUUAAAUAUGUACAAAAAAGGUGUUCCAUGUAUCAAACUGACUGACAUGUAAACUUUUAGAAAAGAGUAUGUAUAUUAGAUGCCGCAUAUACAUAUUAUAAUUCUAUAAGACAUCAAUUAAAAAAUAUAAGGUGAUUUUAAUGACUUUUUAUUUAAAUAUUUGUUUUGAUCUGAGAACCCAAUGCCCUGAAUAUUCUGGAUAACAGAAGAUCAUAGUUGUUUUACUAAUUUCCAGUAAUAUCCCAGGGACCACCUUUUAAAUAAAAAUUAUC